rnacentral:rRNA from 1 species
UUUAGUAUUAAAGAUUUAUCGAUAUAAGAUGGCUAUGCGUUCUAUUAGCUAGUUGGUAUGGUAACGGCAUACCAAGGCUACGAUAGAUAGGGGUCCUGAGAGGGAGAUCCCCCACACUGGUACUGAGACACGGACCAGACUCCUACGGGAGGCAGCAGUGAGGAAUAUUGGACAAUGGAGGCAACUCUGAUCCAGCCAUGCCGCGUGCAGGAAGACUGCCCUAUGGGUUGUAAACUGCUUUUAUAGAGGAAGAAACCGCUCGACGAGUCGGGUCCUGACGGUACUCUACGAAUAAGGAUCGGCUAACUCCGUGCCAGCAGCCGCGGUAAUACGGAGGAUCCAAGCGUUAUCCGGAAUCAUUGGGUUUAAAGGGUCCGUAGCGGAUUUGUAAGUCAGUGGUGAAAGUUUGCGGCUCAACCGUAAAAUUGCCAUUGAUACUGCAAGUCUUGAAUCAUUGUGAAGUGGUUAGAAUAUGUAGUGUAGCGGUGAAAUGCAUAGAUAUUACAUAGAAUACCGAUUGCGAAGCAGAUCACUAACAAUGUAUUGACGCUAAGGGACGAAAGCGUGGGUAG